AGCUACUCUUAGUAUAGUAAAUUUCUACCCCAUUUGGAAACAUCUGGAACACCAGGAAAAGCCAGAGCAGAAGGGCCAGGAGCUGCCAGGUGGGAUGUGCUCAGGACACCUUCCGAGAUGGACCCAGGCAUCUAGAGAGGAAAACCAGCUCUCCUGUUGGAAGACUCACAGGAGUGUUCCAAGAUUCAUUGUUUAUGUACCACACCCAGUGCUC